GGUAGCAUGGCCGAGCGGUAUAAGGCGCUGGUUUAAGGCACCAGUCAUUUCGAUGGCGUGGGUUCGAAUCCCCACUGCUGCCA
rnacentral:tRNA from 1 species